GACGAACGCUGGCGGCGUGCUUAACACAUGCAAGUCGAACGAAGAGCGAUGGAAGCUUGCUUCUAUCAAUCUUAGUGGCGAACGGGUGAGUAACGCGUAAUCAACCCGCCCUUCAGAGGGGGACAACAGUUGGAAACGACUGCUAAUACCGCAUACGAUCUAAUCUCGGCAUCGAGGAUAGAUGAAAGGUGGCCUCUACAUGUAAGCUAUCACUGAAGGAGGGGAUUGCGUCUGAUUAGCUAGUUGGAGGGGUAACGGCCCACCAAGGCGAUGAUCAGUAGCCGGUCUGAGAGGAUGAACGGCCACAUUGGGACUGAGACACGGCCCAGACUCCUACGGGAGGCAGCAGUGGGGAAUCUUCCGCAAUGGACGAAAGUCUGACGGAGCAACGCCGCGUGAGUGAUGACGGCCUUCGGGUUGUAAAGCUCUGUUAAUCGGGACGAAAGGCCUUCUUGCGAAUAGUGAGAAGGAUUGACGGUACCGGAAUAGAAAGCCACGGCUAACUACGUG
rnacentral:rRNA from 1 species